AUUGAACGCUGGCGGCAGGCCUAACACAUGCAAGUCGAACGAGUGGCGGACGGGUGAGUAAUGUCUGGGAAACUGCCUGAUGGAGGGGGAUAACUACUGGAAACGGUAGCUAAUACCGCAUACCAUCGGAUGUGCCCAGAUGGGCUUAGCUAGUAGGUGGGGUAAAGGCUCACAGAGGCGACGGUCCCUAGCUGGUCUGAGAGGCUGACCGGCCACACUGGAACUUGGACACGGUCCAGACUCCUACGGUCGGCAGCGUAGGGGAAUAUGGCACAAGGAUCGCAAGCCGGCUGCAUCCAUGCCGCGUGUAUGAAAAGGGCCUUCGGGUUGUAAAGUACUUUCAGCGGGGAGGCGUUACCCGCAGAAGAAGCACCGGCUAACUCCGUGCCAGCAGCCGCGGUAAUUC
rnacentral:rRNA from 1 species